rnacentral:tRNA from 1 species
GGUGGCUCAGUGGUAGAGUGCUUGCUUUGCAUGCAUGAAGCCCUAGGUUCGAUUCCUCAGCACCA